rnacentral:tRNA from 1 species
GCCCUUGUAGCUCAGAGGAUAGAGCGACGCUUUCCUAAAGCGUAGGCCACAGGUUCAACUCCUGUUGAGGGUA